UACGUAGGGGGCUAGCGUUGUCCGGAUUUAUUGGGCGUAAAGAGCGUGUAGGCGGCCAUGUAGGUCCGGUGUGAAAACCCGAGGCUUAACCUCGAGAUGUCAUCGGAAACCAUUUGGCUAGAGUCCGGAAGAGGAGAGUGGAAUUCCUGGUGUAGCGGUGAAAUGCGCAGAUAUCAGGAAGAACACCAAUGGCGAAAGCAGCUCUCUGGGACGGUACUGACGCUGAGACGCGAAAGCGUGGGGAGCGAACAGG
rnacentral:rRNA from 1 species